AUGGUUUUUUGUUUAUUAAAUAAAAAGUCGAGCCUGCUCACUGAAAUAUUAAAGAGCUGCAGUAUAUUGACUGUACAAAGGUAGCAUAAUCAUUUGUUUUUUAAUUAAAAACUGGAAUGAAAGGUUUGACGAAAAUUAACUGUCUUAGUAAUAUUAUUUGAAGUUAAUUAUUUUGUGAAAAAGCAAAAAUAAAUUAGAGGGACAAGAAGACCCUAUUAAAUUUUAUUUAACAGUUAAUUGAUAUUAGAUUGUUUAAUUUAUUUGGGGCGAAGGGUAUUAUUAACAUUAUUUAAAAUUUGAUUAGUAUAUUAAUAGUUUAGGAUCCAUUAUUGAUGAUUAAAAGAAAUAAUUACUAUAGGGAUAACAGCGUAAUAUUUUUUGAGAGUUCAAAUUGACAAAGAUGUUUACGA
rnacentral:rRNA from 1 species